UGUCCUCGUAAAACUGUACUGGAAGGAUGGAUGGCAGGAACUUGUACCGUUCAGCUUCCAAUACUUUGGAACA
ensembl:miRNA